CUUAGUGGCAGACGGGUGAGUAACAUGUGGGUAUCUACCCUUUGGCCUGGAAUAACACGAGGAAACUUGUGCUAAUACCGGAUAAGUCUUUACGGAGAAAGCUUUAUGCACCAUUGGAUGAGCCCGCACUUGAUUAGUUUGUUGGUAGGGUAAUGGCCUACCAGGACUAUGAUCAAUAGCUGAUUUGAGAGGAUGAUCAGCCACAUUGGGACUGAGACACGGCCCAAACUCCUACGGGAGGCAGCAGUGGGGAAUCUUGCACAAUGGAGGAAACUCUGAUGCAGCGAUGCCGCGUGAGUGAAGAAGGCCUUUGGGUUGUAAAGCUCUUUCGUCGGGGAAGAAAAUGACUGUACCCGAAUAAGAAGGUCCGGCUAACUUCGUGCCAGCAGCCGCGGUAAUACGAAGGGACCUAGCGUAGUUCGGAAUUACUGGGCUUAAAGAGUUCGUAGGUGGUUGAAAAAGUUGGUGGUGAAAUCCCAGAGCUUAACUCUGGAACUGCCAUCAAAACUUUUCAGCUAGAGUAUGAUAGAGGAAAGCAGAAUUUCUAGUG
rnacentral:rRNA from 1 species